rnacentral:tRNA from 2 species
GCCCUUAUAGCUCAGCUGGAUAGAGCAAAAGUUUCCUAAACUUUAGGUCGCAGGUUCAAGUCCUGUUAAGGGCA